CCCCCAAAAUGUCCCCAAUGUCCCAUAAUAUCCCAAAUAUCCCCCACUGUCCCCCCAAAAUGUCCCCAAUGUCCCAUAACAUCCCAUAAUAUCCCAAAUUUCCCCCAUUGUCCCCCAAUGUCCCCCCAAAUGUCCCCCAAACGACCCCAAAAACAACGCAGCGACAGCAGUGUAAAAAAAAUCUCCAUUUUGGCAGCGCAAUAUUUACAGCCCCUCCCCUCCCACAAACAGGGCCUUCGUUAACGAGGCCGCGCUAAUUAAUGCCAACCUCCCCCCUCCCACAUGGGGUAACGGUGGNNNNNNNNNNNNNNNNNNNNGUGUUGGGCGAGGAGGAGGAAAUGGGAGGAGGAAGAGGAAGUUGAGGUUGAGGGAGGGGGAAGAGGAGGAAGAAGGAGGAAGAGGAAGAGAAAAAAGAGGAAGGAGGAGGAAGAGGAGGAGGAAGGAGGAAGAGGAGGAAGGAGGAAGAGGAGGAAGGAGGAAGAGGAGGAAGGAGGAAGAGGAGGAAGGAGGAAGAGGAGGAAGGAGGAAGAGGAAGCUGAAGUUGAAAGAGGAGGAAGAGAAGCUGAGGUUGAAGCUGGAGGAAGAGGAGGAAGGAGGAGGAAGAGGAAAAAGAGGAAGGAGGAGGAAGAGGAAAAAGAGGAAGGAGGAGGAAGAGGAAAAAGAAGAAGCAGAGGAAGAAGGGGAAGAGGAGGAAG
rnacentral:lncRNA from 1 species